GGCCUACCAUGGUGGUAACGGGUAACGGGGUGUUAGGGCACGACACCGGAGAGGGAGCCUGAGAAACGGCUACCACAUCCAAGGAUGGCAGCAGGCGCGCAAAUUACCCAAUCCCGACACGGGGAGGUAGUGACAAUAAAUAACAAUACGGGGUUCUUUAGGAUCUCGUAAUUGGAAUGAGUACAAUUUAAAUCUCUUAACGAGGAACAAUUGGAGGGCAAGUCUGGUGCCAGCAGCCGCGGUAAUUCCAGCUCCAAUAGCGUAUAUUAAAGUUGUUGCAGUUAAAAAGCUCGUAGUUGAAUUUCGGGGUUAGUAGGUUGGUCAUGCCUCUGGUAUGUACUGGUCUCACUGAUUCCUCCUUCCUGAUGAACCGUAAUGCCAUUAAUUUGGUGUUGCGGGGAAUUUGGACUGUUACUUUGAAAAAAUUAAAGUGUUUAAAGCAAGCUAACGCUUGAAUACAUUAGCAUGGAAUAAUGAAAUAGGACGUUCGAUCCUAUUUUGUUGGUUUCUAGGAUUGACGUAAUGAUUAAUAGGGAUAGUUGGGGGCAUUAGUAUUCAAUUGUCAGAGGUGAAAUUCUUGGAUUCAUUGAAGACUAACUACUGCGAAAGCAUUUGCCAAGGAUGUUUUCAUUAAUCAAGAACGAAAGUUAGGGGAUCGAAGACGAUCAGAUACCGUCGUAGUCUUAACCAUAAACCAUGCCGACUAGGGAUCGGAUGAUGUUAAUUUUUUAAUGACUCAUUCGGCGCCUUAC
rnacentral:rRNA from 1 species